rnacentral:rRNA from 1 species
GAUGAACGCUGGCGGCGUGCCUAAUACAUGCAAGUCGAGCGAACGGACGAGAAGCUUGCUUCUCUGAUGUUAGCGGCGGACGGGUGAGUAACACGUGGAUAACCUACCUAUAAGACUGGGAUAACUUCGGGAAACCGGAGCUAAUACCGGAUGAUAUUUUGAGCCGCAUGGUUCAAAAGUGAAAGACGGUCUUGCUGUCACUUAUAGAUGGAUCCGCGCUGCAUUAGCUAGUUGGUAAGGUAACGGCUUACCAAGGCAACGAUGCAUAGCCGACCUGAGAGGGUGAUCGGCCACACUGGAACUGAGACACGGUCCAGACUCCUACGGGAGGCAGCAGUAGGGAAUCUUCCGCAAUGGGCGAAAGCCUGACGGAGCAACGCCGCGUGAGUGAUGAAGGUCUUCGGAUCGUAAAACUCUGUUAUUAGGGAAGAACAUAUGUGUAAGUAACUGUGCACAUCUUGACGGUACCUAAUCAGAAAGCCACGGCUAACUACGUG